AAAAAAACACGAGUGAAAUGUGGAGUCGCGUCACAUUAGUGGACUAAACGUCAAAUGAAACGUCUCUGCUCAGCUGGAAAAGCACGGGGCGACACUGAUGACAUUAACAAUGUCAGGACAGUGAGCUGCAGCGCGUGACAAGAUGAAGGAUGCAGAAGGGAGGUUGACUUACAUUUUCUGUGACCUGGCAGCUGCUCCUCCACCUUGUAAAUGGAGAGUCGACCCACACCGCCACACGGUGACCCUCUCUCACCCCGACACACCAGACUACAAUCCUCCUCGGGAGCCCGCGCACUACUGAUGCGAUUCCCGCAGUGGCAUUCAGCUCCAAACUCCAGACCUGCAAACUGGUAACCACU